AGGAUGUGAGUAUUACAUCAGGUACUGGUUAUUUUUGACUACCGGUCCCUGUGUAACACUAGCAUUUU
rnacentral:pre_miRNA from 1 species